rnacentral:piRNA from 1 species
UCAAGAUGUACAGCUUUGGUUGAAAGGCA